rnacentral:rRNA from 1 species
CGGGGAAUAUUGCGCAAUGGCCGAAAGGCUGACGCAGCGACGCCGCGUGGGGGAUGAAGCAUUUCGGUGUGUAAACCCCUGUUGCCCGGGACGAACAAGCAGAUUUUUCUGCUCUGACGGUACCGGGUGAGGAAGCACCGGCUAACUCCGUGCCAGCAGCCGCGGUAAUACGGAGGGUGCGAGCGUUGUCCGGAAUCACUGGGCGUAAAGGGCGCGUAGGCGGUCUGCUAAGCGUGCGGUGAAAGCCCGGGGCUCAACCCCGGGUCUGCCGUGCGAACUGGUGGACUAGAGCACUGUAGAGGCAGGUGGAAUUCCGGGUGUAGCGGUGGAAUGCGUGGGGAUCCGGAAGAACACCGGUGGCGAAGGCGGCCUGCUGGGCAGUAGCUGACGCUGAGGCGCGACAGCGUGGGGAGCAAACA